rnacentral:lncRNA from 1 species
ACAAAAACCUAUGUAAACUCCCUUCCAAGAGGAACAUCUCCAACCUUAGUGGUUGGGUCGGUUGAGAUAAUAUUUGCUAUUGCAACAGGAACUUCUGUCAUGUCCAUGUGCAAUUGUCCACUUCCAUCUCUAAUUCCUAAUGCACUUCAUAUGCUCUCUUUCCACAGGAAUCCUUGGACAACCUUAAUCUCUUCUCUAUCAUUAUAGUGAUGUCAUUUUUCCUUUUGGCCCCUGUUACCUUCUUUACAGAAGGUGUCAAAAUUACUCCUACAUUUUUGCAAUCUGCUGUAAGUGUAACAAUGUUCAAAUUUAAAUCCAUUACUUACGAAAGUAAGAAAUCAAGACAGGAAACUACACCUUGCAGAACUUCAGGGUUAAUUUUGAUUGUGGUUGAGCAUGGAACACAACCUGGGGGCUCCUAGCACCUAGAACCUCUAAAUGCUAGUGCAGUUCAUGAUGUUUCAGGAGUUGCUGCAGUUAAUCAAUCAGGGCCACUUGUUGGGGCAUGUUCAGAGACUAAGAAGGUAAUGCAAUAAGAAACCAUGGAUCCCAAAUCAAAGCAGUCAGAUACACUAGAGGUUGAGAUAGUAGAUCCAAACAAGCUAGAGUUUGAUCAAUAUGUUGCUUCUCAAGGAGGGCACUUAAACACGGAUGAUCUGAAUAAAGGCAAGUGUUAUCUAUUUGAUUUUUUAUGUUUCAGUUUUAUGUAGAGCUCAGAGUCAUGCGGAUUGCAAAUUCAUUUUUUAUUCCUCUUAUGUGGCUUGCAACAGCUGUAAAUUCAUUUGAUUUAUUCUUUAUUUUCCCAUUUUGCUACAAAAUUCUCAGUCCAAAACCACAAGAAUUUGCUGCACCAAGACUCUAAACUGAUCACUAAAACUAAAAUUCAGUCUCUGCCAGAUACUAUUUCGAGUCUGAAAAUUCAGACUACACUAAAUGCGCUGAACUUCUUCAGUUCGACUGCAGAGCCAGAUUCAUCCUUCUUUUGCUCCCAUUUUUUUAUAGGGUCAGAGCUACCUCCCUACAUUAAACUUGCACACUAAUAUAUGUUCUUUAACUCUUCUUAUAAAGAUAUGGCUUAAUACUCCAAGGAUCAAGCACUAGAGAGCUCCAAAGUUGAGCCAAACACACAAUGUCUGUGUGCUGAAACAAGACUAAGUCUGAAUUCAGAUUUAGCACAUUGAAUCUUUGAACUACUGUUACUGUCAGUUCCAACUGGUUUUAGUGGCAUUACCCUUAAUCCAACUUGCACACCAAAGUAUGGGCUUCCACUUUGGUACAGCACUCAUAGCCCAGAACUACAUUGAUCAGCCCUUAAGGAGUAUCCCAAAUCUGCUUCAGACUGAAAAAUCAGCAGGACUGAAUUUUUAUCUUAAGUCUGAUUUUCCAAACUGAACACUGCAUCUUUAGGCUCCUUUUUAUACCAAUUCCAUAUAGAUUUAGAGCUUCAACACUUAAUAAAAGUUGUUCUCCUAUAGUUACUCUACAAGUUUACUAUAGUUACUCUACAAGUUUCCGAUCCAAGCAUUUUGUUUUCAUUGUAUUCAUUUGAGUAAACCUACCAAAUCUCUUGUUAAGGGAUGUUUUUUGGUAAUGCAAUUGGUUACAUUUCUUUUGAGGUAAAAGGUUUUAUUUGCCACAUAAACAUGCUGAAUUUAAAGGAAAUUGUUUCUCUGUUACUAGGCAUCAAGUCUGUGUUAGAAUAUUUGGUAAUGCUAUCGGGUUCUGCAUCUUUGAGAGUUAGUGACAGUUUUGAAUUCAUGGAAUUUCCCCAGAAUCCUUCAUAUGUAAAAUUCUAGGUAGACCAAACUGGGGUUAUAAAAUUUGAUUUCAGCCUCAAAGCAAGUGUCAUUGCACAAAUUUAUUUUAAAUUCAUGGGCAUGAGAGAAGGAACAUGAUUUUAUACAGGGAUGCUCCUUCAUUACGGAAGACCAUGCAGAACCUGUUAAUCCCAUUGCCACAUCAAUUGAUAUUACUACUUCUAUGGAUAUACGUCUAAUGAUGAAUAAGAUCAAGGUGAUACGCCUAGGGACAUGGGCAGCAAUAGGCCAAUAGCCAUACUACAACAUGAAGCAAAUAAUCACUAGAAGGUUUAAGGCUUUCAGCAUCUAAGUAAAACUGAAAACCAACAAACAUGGACAUGGGCAGUAACAGGCCAACAGCCAUACGCACAUACCUACAAGCUAUAGUACAACAGAGCACACCAGAGAAAACAGGGACAAGCUCUGAAUCUGGAUUAUGGAGACCGAAGACUGGAGACCAUACCUGCACGCCGGCUGCUGGCGCCGCCGCGCCGGAGAUGGAGGAGGGGCCGAGCGGGACGAUGUCGCCGCACCGGAGAUGGAGGAGGCGCCAGAGAUGGAGGAGGGUAGCGCGCCGCCGUCUCCUAUUCCGCUAGCUAGGGCUCCGAUUCUCCCUCGGCAGUUGGUUGCCUGCUGGUUCGUAUCGCGCGUGUGCCUCUGGGCGUUGCGCUGUUUGCUG